rnacentral:rRNA from 1 species
GAUGAACACUGGCGGCGUGCCUAAUACAUGCAAGUCGAGCGAACGGACGAGAAGCUUGCUUUUCUGAUGUUAGCGGCGGACGGGUGAGUAACACGUGGAUAACCUACCUAUAAGACUGGGAUAACUUCGGGAAACCGGAGCUAAUACCGGAUAAUAUUUUGAACCGCAUGGUUCAAAAGUGAAAGACGGUCUUGCUGUCACUUAUAGAUGGAUCCGCGCUGCAUUAGCUAGUUGGUAAGGUAACGGCUUACCAAGGCGACGAUGCAUAGCCGACCUGAGAGGGUGAUCGGCCACACUGGAACUGAGACACGGUCCAGACUCCUACGGGAGGCAGCAGUAGGGAAUCUUCCGCAAUGGGCGAAAGCCUGACGGAGCAACGCCGCGUGAGUGAUGAAGGUCUUCGGAUCGUAAAACUCUGUUAUUAGGGAAGAACAUAUGUGUAAGUAACUGUGCACAUCUUGACGGUACCUAAUCAAAAAGCCACGGCUAACUACGUG